AAUACGUAGGGGGCUAGCGUUGUCCGGAUUUAUUGGGCGUAAAGAGCGUGUAGGCGGCUAGGUAGGUCCGUUGUGAAAACUCGAGGCUCAACCUCGAGACGUCGAUGGAAACCAUCUAGCUAGAGUCCGGAAGAGGAGAGUGGAAUUCCUGGUGUAGCGGUGAAAUGCGCAGAUAUCAGGAAGAACACCCGUGGCGAAGGCGGCUCUCUGGGACGUGACUGACGCUGAGACGCGAAAGCGUGGGGAGCAAACAGGA
rnacentral:rRNA from 1 species